GACGAACGCUGGCGGCGUGCUUAACACAUGCAAGUCGAACGAUGAUGCCCAGCUUGCUGGGUGGAUUAGUGGCGAACGGGCGAGUAACACGUGAGUAACCUGCCCCUGACUCUGGGAUAAGCGUUGGAAACGACGUCUAAUACUGGAUAUGACUGCCGGCCGCAUGGUCUGGUGGGGGAAAGAUUUUUUGGUUGGGGAUGGACUCGCGGCCUAUCAGCUUGUUGGUGAGGUAAUGGCUCACCAAGGCGACGACGGGUAGCCGGCCUGAGAGGGUGACCGGCCACACUGGGACUGAGACACGGCCCAGACUCCUACGGGAGGCAGCAGUGGGGAAUAUUGCACAAUGGGCGAAAGCCUGAUGCAGCAACGCCGCGUGAGGGAUGACGGCCUUCGGGUUGUAAACCUCUUUUAGUAGGGAAGAAGCGAAAGUGACGGUACCUGCAGAAAAAGCACCGGCUAACUACGUGCCAGCCGCCGCAGUAA
rnacentral:rRNA from 1 species